rnacentral:rRNA from 1 species
UACGAGGGGGGCGAGCGUUGUUCGGAAUUAUUGGGCGUAAAGGGUGCGUAGGCGGUUUGGUAAGUCUUAUGUGAAAUCUACAGGCUCAACUUGUAGUCUGCAUGAGAAACUGCCGGGCUUGAGUAUGGGAGAGGUGAGUGGAAUUCCUGGUGUAGCGGUGAAAUGCGUAGAUAUCAGGAGGAACACCUGUGGCGAAAGCGGCUCACUGGACCAUAACUGACGCUGAUGCGCGAAAGCGUGGGGAGCAAACAGG